UACGAAGGGGGCUAGCGUUGCUCGGAAUCAUUGGGCGUAAAGAGCGUGUAGGCGGCCAGAUAAGUCCGCUGUGAAAUCUCGAGGCUCAACUUCGAGCUGUCGGUGGAAACUGUCUGGCUAGAGUCCGGAAGAGGAGAAUGGAAUUCCUGGUGUAGCGGUGAAAUGCGCAGAUAUCAGGAAGAACACCCGUGGCGAAGGCGGUUCUCUGGGACGGUACUGACGCUGAGACGCGAAAGCGUGGGGAGCGAACAGG
rnacentral:rRNA from 1 species